rnacentral:rRNA from 1 species
GCGAGUCUUUGUAGUAAUACAAGGCAGACGGCUCAGUAACACGUAGUCAACCUGCCCUAUGGACAAGAAUAAUCUCGGGAAACUGAGCAUAAUUCUUGAUAGAUCAUAAUGCCUGGAAUGGUUUAUGGUUAAAAUGAUUCGUCGCCAUAGGAUGGGACUGCGGCCUAUCAGCUUGUUGGUGAGGUAAUGGCCCACCAAGGCGAUUACAGGUACGGGCUCUGAGAGGAGAAGCCCGGAGAUGGGUACUGAGACACGGACCCAGGCCCUAUGGGGCGCAGCAGGCGAGAAAACUUUGCAAUGUGCGAAAGCACGACAAGGUUAAUCCGAGUGAUUUCUGCUAAAGAAAUCUUUUGCCAGUCGUAAAACCGCUGGUGAAUAAGGGGUGGGCAAGUUCUGGUGUCAGCCGCCGCGGUAAAACCAGCACCUCAAGUGGUCAGGAUGAUUAUUGGGCCUAAAGCAUCCGUAGCCGGCUUUGUAAGUUUUCGGUUAAAUCCAUGUGCUCAACGCAUGGGCUGCCGAAAAUACUGCAUAGCUAGGGAGUGGGAGAGGUAGACGGUACUCAGUAGGUAGGGGUAAAAUCCUUUGAUCUAUUGAUGACCACCUGUGGCGAAGGCGGUCUACCAGAACACGUUCGACGGUGAGGGAUGAAAGCUGGGGGAGCAAACCGGAUUACAUACCCGGGUAGUCCCAGCUGUAAACGAUGCA